rnacentral:rRNA from 1 species
AUUGAACGCUGGCGGCAGGCCUAACACAUGCAAGUCGAGCGGCAACACUUGUAGCUUUAUCGGGGAUGGAGAGGGGGGGGCGGGUGUAAUACCUUUGAAUAUCUCCCUUAGUGGGGGGGAAAGCUUGGGAAAAGUCGCUUUUAUCCCCCAUGUCCCCUUGGGGAAAACGGGGGCCCUUUAGUCCUUUCGCUAUUAGAUGAGCCUAAGUUGGAUUAGCUAGAUGGUGGGGUAAAGGCUCACCAAGGCGACGAUCCGUAACUGGUUUGAGAGGAUGAUCAGUCACACCGGGAAUGAGACCCGGUCCCGACUCCUACGGGAGGCAGCAGUGGGGAAUAUUGGACAAUGGGGGCAAACCUGAUCCAGCCAUGCCGCGUGUGUGAAGAAGGUCUUUUGGUUGUAAAGCACUUUAAGCCGGGAAGAAGGGCCCUUAGUUAAUACCCUGGGGUGGUGACGUUAGCGGCAGAAUAAGCACCGGCUAACUUUGUG